GGAACGAACGCUGGCGGCAGGCUUAACACAUGCAAGUCGAACGGUUGUAGCAAUACAGCAGUGGCAGACGGGUGAGUAACACGUGGGAACCUUCCUAGGGGUACGGAACAACUCAGGGAAACUUGAGCUAAUACCGUAUGCGUCCGUGAGGAGAAAGAUUUAUCGCCCCUAGACGGGCCCGCGUAGGAUUAGGUAGUUGGUGAGGUAACGGCUCACCAAACCUCGAUCCUUAGCUGAUCUGAGAGGAUGAUCAGCCACACUGGGACUGAGACACGGCCAGACUCCUACGGGAGCAGCAGUGGGGAAUCUUGGACAAUGGGCGCAAGCCUGAUCCAGCCAUGCGCGUGAGUGAAGAAGGCCUUCGGGUGUAAAGCGUACUUUACCAGGGACGAAUAAGUGAACGGUACCUGGAAGUAAGUAAGCCCCCGGA
rnacentral:rRNA from 1 species